rnacentral:sRNA from 1 species
UGAUGCCAGGGGCAAAAGCCUGAAACUACGAUGUGCUUGCACAGGAGUGCUUUUAUGGCUUAAUGCCCCGCCCGACGUGAGCAUAAAAGUGAAGCGGAAGCUUCACGAUAUGCGAAUGGCGGACAGAAUUGUGGGAGUACGAAGUACGGAACAAUUCGUAUGGCAUCU